UGAGAGUUAGUUUAAAUUAAGAAUUGUUGAUUGUUGAUCAGAGGGUAUAGUACUCUUAA
rnacentral:tRNA from 2 species